rnacentral:rRNA from 1 species
GACGAACGCUGGCGGCGUGCUUAACACAUGCAAGUCGAACGAAGUGGCGAACGGGUGAGUAAUGCGUAGUCAACCUGCCCUUCAGGGGGGGACACCAGUUGGAAACGACUGCUAAUACCGCAUACUGAUGGAGUAGAUUGCGUGGGAUUAGCUAGUUGGGGGGGUAACGGCCCACCAUGGCGAUGAUCAGUAGCCGGGCUGAGAGGGUGAACGGCCAAAAUGGGACUGGGAAAAGGCCCAGAAUCCUACGGGAGGCAGCAGGGGGGAAUCUUCCGAAAUGGAGGAAAGGCUGACGGAGCAAAGCCGCGUGAGGGAGGAAGGGCUUCGGGUUGGAAAGGUAUGUUAAUCGGGAAGCGGUACCGGAAUAGAAAGCAACGGCUAACUACGUGCCAGCAGCCGCGGUAAUUC